AUGGGAACAAAUUGCUGGCGUCGUAAACACCGGAAUUUUCUCACAUCUCAUGACAUUCGUUUGAAGACCAUAGUGUUGGGAUAUUAUAAAGGCUUCCAGGCACAAGUUGACUUUGUUACAUUCUUUGUGCUGAAUGCAAGAUCACUAGAGUCCAUUCAUCUUGUGGUUGAUUCCAGGAAUUACAGCCGCGAAUUUGUCUCAGGACAACGUGAGAAGCUUCAGAUAGAGAAGAGGGCUUCUAGAGGUGCCCGGCUUAGUUUUACGACAGAUAGUCACCAUGAUGUUUCGAGUAUCGGCAAUCUCAAUGAUUUGGAUUUGGCCAAUCCCUUUGCUUGUAGAUGUUGA
rnacentral:rRNA from 1 species